UAAUAGUGUUUUUUAAUAAAAAAUAUAAUUAAAAACGCCGUGAUAAUUAAAGUGCUAACCAAGGAACUGCAGCGGAAGUCCACGGAACUUCGUGUUCAUGGAUUAAAAUAAGUUACCAGUACUGGAGAUCGUAGAUGGCUUCGGUUUGUCCCGUUACGUCCUUCCCUUGGGUCCAGGCGAGCCCGAAUUAAUAAGGCUAAAGGAUUCCAGAAGGGCAGCCUUAUAAAGGUAGGAUUUUUCUUUUUCUAAGCAUGAGUCUUACUGUAUAUUUUUGUGUGGGGGAAGUGUAUAGUGUAGGACGAUCAGCGACCGGCAUUUGUUAAAUGAGUUGUGACUAUUAUGCUCGCCGGGAGUGAAUGCCGAUCACAGAACACCUGAUCUCGGUCUAUAAUCGUCCUGGACGAUUGCAAACCGGCAUCGGGUGUUCUGUGACCGCGCCAUUCUCUCCUGGCGAGCAUAAUAUCUUCUCAACAUCUCAUCUUGGCGACUUAAGGCUGGGUGCACGAGUCAAUCAUUUCACUUUAUAUUAAUCAGUAUGACUAUGAAUUCAUGGCCAUAUUACUUUUUUGAAGUGAAUGGGUUUUCUCUGCGAAAUGGGAAGCAUUGCAGCUAAUCCUUCCGUUGCCAAGUUGAGCGACUUCGAAGAUUGUCAUACCUCAUUUAUUAUUGCAAGAAGAUUGGCUUAAAAGGUGAGUAAAUGAUCUACAAAAUAGGCGUGUUCGUAUAUUAAUCAAAUGGUUGGUUACUAGACGAACACGCCCUAUACAAUGAAUUACUUUUGAAGAGGGUACUUAGAUUUGCCUACUAAUUUCAUCACUUGUUCUCAGAGCCAAUGGAGAGGUAACCAGGACAACUACUAGAAGUCAUCAAUCCAAGUCUACUGUCAACCCAUGGCCAUGGCUCAAAUAAACGAGCAGCGCCAAUGGAGGACUUACAACGCCGAUGAGGACUACGCGAACAACGUCUGGAAUGCAUCUGAUCGAAUCCAAGUCUACUCUCCCAUUCAACGAUCCCGUGGACAUAGCAAACGAGCUGCAGUUGCUGUUGGUGAUAUUUCCGAAUAUAACGUUGAUAUUACAUAUUAUGG